CCGGCCACACUGGGACUGAGAUACGGCCCAGACUCCUACGGGAGGCAGCAGUGGGGAAUAUUGCACAAUGGGCGCAAGCCUGAUGCAGCGACGCCGCGUGGGGGAUGACGGCCUUCGGGUUGUAAACCUCUUUCAGUAGGGACGAAGCGCAAGUGACGGUACCUACAGAAGAAGCACCGGCCAACUACGUGCCAGCAGCCGCGGUAAUACGUAGGGUGCGAGCGUUGUCCGGAAUUACUGGGCGUAAAGAGCUUGUAGGUGGUUUGUCGCGUUGUUCGUGAAAUCUCACGGCUUAACUGUGAGCGUGCGGGCGAUACGGGCAGACUAGAGUACUGC
rnacentral:rRNA from 1 species